rnacentral:tRNA from 1 species
UAUAAAGUAAGCUAUAAAAGCUAGUGGGUUCAUACCCCAAAUAAGACCUAGUCCUUUAUUA